AUUGAACGCUGGCGGCAUGCCUUACACAUGCAAGUCGAACGGUAACGGGCCUUCGGGUGCCGACGAGUGGCGAACGGGUGAGUAAUACAUCGGAACGUGCCCGAUCGUGGGGGAUAACGAGGCGAAGGCUUUGCUAAUACCGCAUACGAUCUACGGAUGAAAGCAGGGGACCGCAAGGCCUUGCGCGGACGGAGCGGCCGAUGGCAGAUUAGGUAGUUGGUGGGAUAAAAGCUUACCAAGCCGACGAUCUGUAGCUGGUCUGAGAGGAUGAUCAGCCACACUGGGACUGAGACACGGCCCAGACUCCUACGGGAGGCAGCAGUGGGGAAUUUUGGACAAUGGGCGCAAGCCUGAUCCAGCCAUGCCGCGUGCAGGAUGAAGGCCUUCGGGUUGUAAACUGCUUUUGUACGGAACGAAAAGCCUUCUUUUAAUACAGGAGGGUCAUGACGGUACCGUAAGAAUAAGCACCGGCUAACUACGU
rnacentral:rRNA from 1 species